UACGGAGGGGACUAGCGUUGUUCGGAAUUACUGGGCGUAAAGCGCACGUAGGCGGAUUUGUAAGUCAGGGGUGAAAUCCCGGGGCUCAACCUCGGAACUGCCUUUGAUACUGCAAAUCUCGAGUCCGGAAGAGGCGAGUGGAAUUCCCGGUGUAGCGGUGAAAUGCGUAGAUAUUGGGAGGAACACCGGUGGCGAAGGCGGCCACCUGGGCCGGAACUGACGCUGAGGCGCGAAAGCGUGGGGAGCAAACAGG
rnacentral:rRNA from 1 species